UACGGAGGGUCCAAGCGUUAUCCGGAAUCAUUGGGUUUAAAGGGUCCGUAGGCGGACCAGUAAGUCAGUGGUGAAAUCUCCCGGCUCAACCGGGAAAUGGCCAUUGAUACUGCUGGUCUUGAAUUAUUAGGAAGUAACUAGAAUAUGUAGUGUAGCGGUGAAAUGCUUAGAUAUUACAUGGAAUACCGAUUGCGAAGGCAGGUUACUACUAAUGGAUUGACGCUGAUGGACGAAAGCGUGGUAGCGAACAGG
rnacentral:rRNA from 1 species